rnacentral:tRNA from 1 species
GCUAAAGAAGUGUUAAUGGUAGACACGUCGGGCUCAUGUCCUGGAAAAGGAGGUUCAAAUCCUCUCUUUAGUA